UACGGAGGGUGCAAGCGUUGUCCGGAUUUAUUGGGUUUAAAGGGUGCGUAGGCGGUUCUUUAAGUCCGGGGUGAAAGCCCACUGCUCAACAGUGGAACUGCCCUGGAAACUGGAGAACUUGAGUACAGACGAGGGCGGCGGAAUGGAUGGUGUAGCGGUGAAAUGCAUAGAUACCAUCCAGAACCCCGAUUGCGAAGGCAGCUGCCUAGACUGUAACUGACGCAGAGGCACGAAAGCGUGGGGAGCGAACAGG
rnacentral:rRNA from 1 species